GUGGGAAAAGCUCAACUUUGAAAUCUGGUACUUUCAGUAUCCGAAUUGUAGUCUCAAGAAGUGUUUUCUGUGCCGGUCCAUGUAUGAGUCUGUUGGAACACAGCGUCAUAGAGGGUGACAACCCCGUUCAUGACAUGGAUCCCGGUGCUUUGUGAUACACUCUCGAAGAGUCGAGUUGUUUGGGAAUGCAGCUCAAAUUGGGUGGUAAAUUCCAUCUAAAGCUAAAUAUUGGCGAGAGACCGAUAGCAAACAAGUACCGUGAGGGAAAGAUGAAAAGCACUUUGGAAAGAGAGUUAACAGUACGUGAAAUUGUUGAAAGGGAAACGAUUGAAGUCAGACGUGCGUGAUGCGGUUCAGCUCUAGUUCGCUAGAGUGUACUCCGUAUCUUUGCAGGCCAACAUCGGUUUUGUUAGUCGGAUAAAGGUUUGAGAAAUGUGGCACCUUCGGGUGUGUUAUAGUCUCAGACUGAAUACGAUUGAUGGGACCGAGGAACGCAGCGCGCCGCAAGGCAAAGGUUCCGACCUUUUCGCGCUUAGGAUGUUGGUGAAAUGGCUUUAAACGACCCGUCUUGA
rnacentral:rRNA from 1 species